rnacentral:tRNA from 1 species
GCCGCGCUAGCUCAAUCGGAAGAGCAAUCGCUUCGUAAGCGAUCGGUUAUCGGUUCGAUUCCGAUGCGCGGCU